GACGGUGCUACAUUAUCGUGCCUUCUUGCAUGAGGAAUUCAAGGCCACAUGCGGUUUCGUCACUUGUCAAAGGUUAGUGUUGCUGAGGUUAGAACUGGGUCCCACUUUGAUCUGAUUCCAAAGCCUGAUCCCUUAACUAGUGUGUGGAGCUGACUGCAGGGAGACUGCUACACCCAGGAAGAGCUGCAGCUGUCUCAGUGGCAGCGUGGAACCAAGGUCUACAGUGGCUGCUGAGGUCAGACUUGAAGAAAUGACUCACAUGCAAGGCUGAUCUACAUAAGUAGCCUGUGCUAAGACUGCCAUCUGGUAGAACAAUCUACAUCACACGACUCCACGUUUCCUGUUACCCAAGCACAGUGAACCUCUAUCUGCACACAGCUUAUGAGCCAGAUGCAUGGGUCUUACUCCAUUAACUGGAACUAUGGUGCUCAGUGCUGAGAGAGUUCAUCGCAAGCCGAAGCUAUUGGACUUGCCACAGAGGGAAGCAGCAGCUGACAGUCACUGGCACAUCCCUCCAGCACCGACUGUGUUACCUAGCCAUCUGGAGCUCAAGAUUAAGGCAGGUUUGAUGAGAGAGCUGUGACCUGUGGACCUCCUGAGAAAAUGACAAUGAGGGGGUACCUGAUAUACACUUCAGGACAUAAUAACCUGUGGCUGGCGAAAAACUCUCCCAAAUUGCAUAUAAUUUACAAUGUGUGUAAUUUAAGUAAAUAGGUACUUCUCAAAAAAUUUUUUUUCUGUUCAUGGUACUCUCAUGUUGUAAAAACAAAACAAAACAAAACAAAACAAACAAACAAAAACAAAAACAAA
rnacentral:lncRNA from 1 species